GAUGAAGAACGCAGCGAAAUGCGAUAAGUAAUGUGAAUUGCAGAAUUCCGUGAAUCAUCGAAUCUUUGAACGCAUAUUGCGCCCUCUGGUAUUCCGGAGGGCAUGCCUGUCCGAGCGUCAUUACAACCCUCAGGCCCCCGGGCCUGGCGUUGGGGAUCGGCGGAGCCCCCCGUGGGCACACGCCGUCCCCCAAAUGCAGUGGCGGUCCCGCCGCAGCUUCCAUCGCGUAGUAGCUAACACCUCGCGACUGGAGAGCGGCGCGGCCACGCCGUAAAACACCCAACUCUUCUGAAGUUGACCUCGAAUCAGGUAGGAAUACCCGCUGAACUUAAGCAUAUCAAUAAGCGGAGGA
rnacentral:misc_RNA from 1 species